AUACGUAGGGUGCAAGCGUUAAUCGGAAUUACUGGGCGUAAAGCGUGCGCAGGCGGUUUUGUAAGACAGUGGUGAAAUCCCCGGGCUCAACCUGGGAAAUGCCAUUGUGAAUGCAAGGCUGGGGUGCGGCCGAGGGGGAUGGAAUUCCGCGUGUAGAAGUGAAAUGCGUAGAUAUGCGGAGGAACACCGAGGGCGAACGCAAUCCCCUGGUACUGCACUGACGCUCAUCCACGAUAGCGUGGUGAGCAAACAGGAUUAGAUAUCCUGGUAGUCCGCGCCCUAAACGAUGUCAACUGGUUGUUGGGUUUUCAGUGACUCAGUAACGAAGCUCACACGUGAAGUUGACCGCCUGGGGAGUACGGCCGCAAGGUUGAAACGCAAAGUAAUUGCCUGUG
rnacentral:rRNA from 1 species